rnacentral:rRNA from 1 species
CCUUCGGUGGGGAAUACCGGUCGGAAACGACCGUUAAUACCGCAUAAUGCAGCGGCAUCUAUGAUGACAGUUGUUAAAGCGGGGGAUCGCGCAAGCGACCUUGUGCCUGAAGAGAAGCCUGCGGCAGAUUAGGUAGUUGGUAAGGUAAUGGCUUACCAAGCCUGCGAUCUGUAACCGGCCUGAGAGGGCGGUCGGUCACACUGACACUGACAUACGGGUCAG